ACCCUACGUUUAAUUUUGGCGCGCGUAAGAAGACUCGCUACCAGUCACAUAGAAGUAUUGUAUGAUUAUAGAGAUUAACUCUUUUCUCCGGGCCUAGUGACUAGUAUUUUAUUUCAGCGGCAGCUGUUUAAAGGUAGGGGGUAUAAAGGGGACUGGGCACAGUGCCAGCAUCCGCGGUUAUUCUGUUCUCUUUUCUUUUUUUUUGGCUGUUAACGAUAUCAAGGUAAUAAAUUGUGUAAAAUCUUUUAUUUUUAGUUACUUGUAUUGUGCGUGUAAGAAGGAGUUAAGUAAGACGUGGAUUAGAUACCCACUUAUUUGUUUUCUUAUUAUGCUGUAGUUUAUAUAACUAAAAAAUUUUGGCAGCGAGCGAACCUAUUCGGGGGAGUGUGCUACGUAAAGGACGAUCCGCCAAUUAAUUAACCAUUUUUAUGCUGGUGUAUAUCUGGUUCAAUAUUAGUGCUGUAAUAGCCGAAUUUGUGUAGGGGUAUUUAAGCCAAGUCUAUGUGCUGCGUAUAAUGGGGGUUUGUGCAUUACAAUUAUAAGGUGAAGAAGGUAGGAAGCUUUAUUGUUUUAGGACUCGAUAGUAAUGUUAUUUCAGUUUGAUGACGUGAAUUAAGUUUAGCUUGGGUACACACCGCCCGUCACCCUCGUCUUUUGCUGAGGUAAGUCGUAACAUGGUAGCCCCAGAUGAAUCUGGGGCUAAGUGGGUGUUAGUGUCAGAGUUACAUGAGUUAG
rnacentral:rRNA from 1 species